GAACAUAAAUAUCAGUUCAAGAAAAGCAAACAGCUUCUACUUUUUUGUCUUUUCACAGAACUGCCAUAAGGAAGCAAAGCAUCAUUAUUGUUUCUUUCAGUUCUCAGCAAAAAAAAAGGAAGUAAGACUUAAUAAAAGCCAUUGGCUGUAAGAUUUUAUGAGAGAGAGAGAGAGAGGCAGAGAAAAAGGAAGAGAACGAGAACCGUGCUGUAGAAAAGCAGGUGUGAUUCAUGAAUAAACUAUAGUUUGUAACCCUAUGGGAUACUGAUGAAACAAAUAGAAUUUUCACAGACAUGGAUAAUACAAGAACACAAGACACUUUUUCACAGUUAAGCCAGGAAAAAAUCCUCAAAAUUAUGAACAUGGUGAAAAAUAAAGAAGUGAGCAUUGAAGGAGCUUUGCAUUUGGCACAGAAAGAGGUGUAUGCUGAAAAGGAUUCGCCGGAUUUGCUAACUGGCUCACAAUUUAACUUUAGUAUCUACAAAUACAAGCACUAUCGGUGGCAGAAACGAAUUCUGCAGAUUGAUUUCAACACAAAGACAAUUUUUAACUUUGAAAAAGGAAUUAUUAAGAAACAGUUCCCUUUCUCACAAGUCAAAGCCUGUGAAGAUACUGAAAGAAGACGCUUCAGCAUUGUGUUUCAUGGGCGACAAGAUUAUGAGCUGGAAGCAGUGUCUCUUGAUGAUAAAAGGAAGGUAAGUUUUUAUACUGCCACGGAUAGAUUGCUAUAAAUAACAGCUAAUAUUAUGGUAUGGACCCAGCAGGUCCCAGUCAUAAAUGGGAAUUGUUAUGCUGUGCAUUGUGUAAUCAAAGCAGUAGGCAUGUCUUUAUUCUGUGUAUGUUGAUACAUAGAGCAAAAGGAAUGUGAGUCCAGGAUAAAGUUUGGCCACUAAGACUAAAAAUCUACAACUAGCUUGGGAUGUAACAUGAAGAUAGAUCCAUUUUUUUUUUCAACAACAACUUGAAGGCAGUUGGUCUGACUUAGUUGUAUAAAUCAAGCAAACAAAACUGAUGUCAUGCAUAUUUGGAUUUUAACUGAAGUUUUCUAAGAGAUUGUUUUCUUUAUAUGAGACAUACAUUUAUAAAAAUGCAUACUCUUAAGAAUGAAUGAGGCCACCCUCAUGCUGUGGGUGGAGUGGGGAGAGGGAGAAGAGCUAGUGGUUCCUCUUUCACCAUCAAAACAUACUGUACUUAUAAAGUUAUCAGAGGAAGACAGCCUAGGUAUUUGUGUAAUUAAUUUUUGCAAGAUUUUGUAUGAACUGUUUCAGCUCCUUUUGAGUUCUAGGCUGAAUCAAAUAUUCUAAGGAGUUCAUGUAAUUAGGCUCUACACUGAAAUCUGAGAAACUCAAGUUGUGAAAUUAGCCUUUCACCUGAGUGCAGAUACUGACCGUGUUUGGGGGUGGGUCAAGUAUUGGAAUUCAUGCCAUCCCACUGCUGAAGCACUAAAGUCAGAUGCGCUAUUCAGGCUGAGAUAUAGACUCUUAAAAAACAUGGAAUAGUUUAGUAAGAGUUUAGACUUUAGUAACCUGUUAGUGAGAAAAUCUUUUGCAGAGGGGUUUCUCCCUCAUGAAGCUUAUCAGUUUGCAACAUAGGAAGGAACUUUUAUUUCAGACAGCACCUCAUGGCUAGUUAGCUUAAUUUUCAAAAUUGUGUCUAGCAGAAAAGCUUAAAGGUACACUUGUUCUGUGGUAAGAACACUCAGAUUAGGCACAGUAUAACAACAAGAGUCAU
rnacentral:lncRNA from 1 species